rnacentral:rRNA from 1 species
UACGGGGGGGGCAAGCGUUGUUCGGAAUUACUGGGCGUAAAGGGCGCGUAGGCGGCCUGCUAAGUCGGAUGUGAAAUCCCUGGGCUCAACCCAGGAACUGCGUCCGAUACUGGUUGGCUUGAAUCCGGGAGAGGGAUGUGGAAUUCCAGGUGUAGCGGUGAAAUGCGUAGAUAUCUGGAGGAACACCGGUGGCGAAGGCGACAUCCUGGACCGGCAUUGACGCUGAGGCGCGAAAGCCAGGGGAGCAAACGGG